GACGAACGCUGGCGGCGUGCUUAACACAUGCAAGUCGAGCGGUAAGGCCCUUUCGGGGGUACACGAGCGGCGAACGGGUGAGUAACACGUGGGUGACCUGCCCUCAGCUCUGGGAUAAGCCUGGGAAACCGGGUCUAAUACUGGAUAUGACUCCAUGACGCAUGUUGUGGGGUGGAAAGCCUUGUGCGGCUGAGGAUGGGCCCGCGGCCUAUCAGCUUGUUGGUGGGGUGAUGGCCUACCAAGGCGACGACGGGUAGCCGGCCUGAGAGGGCGACCGGCCACACUGGGACUGAGACACGGCCCAGACUCCUACGGGAGGCAGCAUGGGGAAUCUUGCGCAAUGGGCGAAAGCCUGACGCAGCGACGCCGCGUGAGGGAUG
rnacentral:rRNA from 1 species